rnacentral:lncRNA from 1 species
CACUCAGCCACUGAGCUAUAACUUCUCCAGGCCUGAUUUUUUGGUUUGGCAAAAUUGACACUAGUCAGACGGUGCCCCUGUCUGAACCAUGAUUUGACAUCAGGAACUGCAUGGAAACUCUUCCCACAACUUAACAGUCAUCAGGGCCUUUGUGCCUAGCAUUUUCUUGCGUUGCCACCUCAGGAUAUUGCCCACAGUUCUUAUUACCCAUCUCUACAGCUGCUACCAGAAACUGCAAGAUACACAAGAGGAGAUAGAAGCCAAUGGAACACCACAGAGGCAGAUAAAUCAGAAGAGAAAGCAGGAUAAAGAUUGCUGAGUCUCUCAUGAGGCAAAACCAGACCUAGGCAUCCUGGA